rnacentral:sRNA from 1 species
CAGAGCUUCGGCUACACCAGCGCAUUCUGACUCAACAUGGCUAUACGGUUGUCAUCGCUGAAGAAAGGCUCAAAGCUGGCCUAGGGCUGGGGCUACUAGAACAAGGUGAUCUGGGCUCUUGGGAUCUGCUCAUUUGCCUGUCUUCUAAGAAAGCAGAAGGAACACCCUGUAUAUCCAAGGAAGUCAUGUGCCAGUUAGGUUUACAUCAAAAGGCUUCACCAGCUAAUGAGGACAAAUGAGGUCACAUUGGCAUUAGUAUUGGUA